AGCAGUAGCCACGGGAAUACGGAGGGGGCUAGCGUUGUUCGGAAUUACUGGGCGUAAAGCGCACGUAGGCGGCUUGGUAAGUUAGAGGUGAAAGCCUGGAGCUCAACUCCAGAAUUGCCUUUAAGACUGCCGAGCUAGCAGGUGAGAGAGGUAAGUGGAAUUCCGAGUGUAGAGAUGAAAUUCGUAGAUAUUCGGAAGAACACCAGUGGCGAAGGCGGCUUACUGGCUCAUACUGGACGCUGAGGUGCGAAAGCGUGGGGAGCAAACAGGAUUAGAUACCCCCGUAGUCCCUGUCUCUUAUAU
rnacentral:rRNA from 1 species